rnacentral:lncRNA from 1 species
AUGGAGGCUUGGGGAAAGAAGCGGGUCAAACGGAUCGUAUUCGCGGAAAAGAGCAUAAUCCGGAUACUAGAUUAUGAAUAAUCAAAAGUCAUAUUUGACUUAUGAUGUUUUGACCCGUCAUGUGCGGUUCGGAACAAAAGACAUUAAUGAUAAACCAUGUUGAAUGAUUAAAAAGAGCUAAUAAGAUCAUUUAGUCAUGCAAUGACUAAUAAAUAACGAGUUCUAAAUGAUUACCUUGUAAGGUAAAUCAAUACAAUUAAUAAGGGUUAAACGGUAAGGUGGUCACUAGUUGACGAUAACCGUUGGUUUUGAAGGACACUUUAUGGCGUAAGAUAUAAAGGGGUCAAAAUGAUCAAGAAAUAGAUUUAUAAGGAAAAUUGACCGUACGGUGUAAACCGGUACAAGUCAUGUAGACGAGAUGAUGAUAAAUCCAUCUCGCAAAAGUAAACGGUCAUUUAGACCAAACGGGUCAAAAGGUGAAAAUAUCACCCUUUGACAAUAUCGACUAAUGGUUUGUCGAGUUGUAUGAUUACAGGAAUAAAUAUCGAUUGAAUGUUGACAUCG